GACGAACGCUGGCGGCGUGCUUAACACAUGCAAGUCGAACGGAAAGGCCCUGCUUGCAUGGUACUCGAGUGGCGAACGGGUGAGUAACACGUGGGUGAUCUUCCCUGCACUUCUGGAUAAGCCUUGGCGACUGGGUCCAAUCCCUGAUACCGGCCAUUUUUUGCGUGAUGGUUGGAAAGUUCUUCGGGUGUAGGAUGAGCUGGCGGGCUAUCAGCUUGUUGGUGGGUUAAUGGCCUACCAAGGCGGCGAGGGGUCGCCGGACAGAGAGGGUGGGCGGCGACAUUGGGACUGAGAUACGGCACAGACUGCUAAGGGAGGCAGCAGUGGGGAAUAUUGAACAAUGGGCGCAAGGCGGAUGCAGCGGGGCCGCGUGGUGGAUGACGGCCUUCGGGUGGUAAACUACCUUCGCGAGGGACGAAGCUUGUUGUGACGGUACCUAGAGAAGAAGCACCGGCUAACUACGUG
rnacentral:rRNA from 1 species